GAUGAACGCUGGCGGCGUGCCUAAUACAUGCAAGUCGAGCGAACGGACGAGAAGCUUGCUUCUCUGAUGUUAGCGGCGGACGGGUGAGUAACACGUGGAUAACCUACCUAUAAGACUGGGAUAACUUCGGGAAACCGGAGCUAAUACCGGAUAAUAUUUUGAACCGCAUGGUUCAAAAGUGAAAGACGGUCUUGCUGUCACUUAUAGAUGGAUCCGCGCUGCAUUAGCUAGUUGGUAAGGUAACGGCUUACCAAGGCAACGAUGCAUAGCCGACCUGAGAGGGUGAUCGGCCACACUGGAACUGAGACACGGUCCAGACUCCUACGGGGGGCAGCAGUAGGGAAUCUUCCGCAAUGGGCGAAAGCCUGACGGAGCAACGCCGCGGGAGUGAUGAAGGUCUUCGGAUCGUAAAACUCUGUUAUUAGGGAAGAACAUAUGUGUAAGUAACUGUGCACAUCUUGACGGUACCUAAUCAGAAAGCCACGGCUAACUACGUG
rnacentral:rRNA from 1 species